UAUAACGAUCUGAUUUAUUAUUAUGUUCUCAUAUAAAAAUUCUCAUAACACUAUUAAAAAAAUGUGAUUUACCGACGGAUUUUAGCGAGGGAUAAAAAUCCGUCGCUAAUAGCGACGGAAUUACCGACGGAUCCGCGGUUUAAAAAUAAACAUCCUGUUUUGAAAUUUAGCGACGGAUUAGAACCCUCGCUGUUAUUCCGUCGCUAAUGUUAUUUUAAUAUUUUAUAUUGCAAAUUAGCGACGGAUCUGUACCGUCGCUGAUGAUCUCCCGUCGCUAAAUAUAUUGUUUUUAAAAAUGAAAAAUUGUUCUCCCAGAUUUGAACCCGGGUCUUGUCUCCAAAAGGGGAAGGCUUUAGCCAUUUGAACUAAAUGACAUAUUUUGCUAUAUAGAAACUACUAGGUUAAAAGAUUUCCAAACACUUAAGCAGUCCAUUCACUCAUGUUCGCUAACACACUCAUCUCACCUCACAUGGCCGCCGCCCCUUGUUUCCCUUCGCGUUGUAAUCUCACCUGACUCCUCCCUUUUCUACUUCUCCUUCUCCACCACAAGGGGCAAACUUUCGAAUUUCCCAGCUGAAAUUCUCUUGUUUCGCUAUUUGGGUCAUCGUCAAGCUAUGCGUGGAGCUGAAUCUGAAGGUGGUGGUGGUGGUUAUUUGUUACUUGCUUUGAUUGCCAAACUGAUGGAAUUAAUGAGUGGAAGGAAAGGAAAUGAAAGGUGGAAGGGGGGCGGGGGUAAGAGUAAGAAAAUGCAAUCAUGCUCUGGUUGAAGCAAAGGUGUUAAGGUGUACAUUUUUUCUAAGGAAUAUAGAUAUGGAAGCCCAAAAAAACUUAUCCUUUUGCUGGCUUUAUAUGCUUUUUUCAAUUGGACUUCUUUAUAAAAUGUUUUUCGAUUUUGUCAUUUUGAAGGACAUGGGGCGCUUCAAUUCAUCAGUGUCUUACCCAUCAUGUGGCAGGGGUGCCUCAGUUUUUGGAAAUUUUGUCUCCUCUUUAUGUAAAGAGGUUCCCAAUCAUGUUAAGUAAAGUCUAGCUUUUUUCCUUUUUCAUGGGUACAGUGAUAGAUUGAAAUACCCUACUAUUUUACUCUGUAUUUAGCAGAUAAAUUUACAUUUUGUGUGUAUGGGGAUGUACACUAACAAAGAAAAGAAACUGAUGCAACAAGAUAAAAUUGGUGGGUUUGGUAUUAAAUGAGUAAGAAAUAUUGUAAAUAGCAGAGAUUUUUUGCUCAGAUUGAACUGGAAAAGUUAGGCUGUUGCAUAGUAUUUUCAUUCAAAGUAUAAUAAUGUAUGUUUUGGUUACUAGGACAUGUGUAUAGUUCUUUGAAUUAUCAUUAAGAAUUAUUACAUUUUGGAUGAAAUUUUGGGGUUUAUUUUUCGUUUUCCUAUGAGCAGUAGACACUGAUGCUCAUACAUUUGGUAAAAAGAAAAUGGUUGAUUCACAUGGCCUUGAGCUUGUGAGAGGACAGCUUUUGUGAAUUGCAUGCCAUGUUUGCCUAAUCAUGUCGAAUAUAGCAGAAACAGAAGUUUGGCUUGGAUGAUGCUUUUCAUGUGAGAGUAGCAUAAUGCUAUUUAUUGUCUAACGUUUAACCGUAUAUUGGCACCUAUUCAAGAUUUAGGUUUUCACCAUCCAUUAGGUGCUUGUCUUCAAUUUGUGAAGAAGAGAGAUAAUGCUCAUGAAGUUAAUAGAUAGUUUGUGGAAACUAUAUGCUAGGUAGCCUGCUUUGUCAUCUUGAAGUAGAGGGGGGGCCAUCUAUAUAAUAAUUUUUGAUGACAUGAAGGCUUACCAGUUAGUUCUACUAGCAGAUCCAGCUGUUGCCAGAACCAGAACACCAAACCAAGAGGAACCAACAAGAUGAGAACCCUUGAAUGUCAUUAAUAAAACAUAGGAACCAGAACAGCUUUUAAUAUCAAGGAUCUUCAUACACUAUCAAAGGGAAGGCAUUGGAGGAAGAAGAUAACCUAACACCCUUGCGCAGCUUGCGAUUCAUACAAGGUUUGAGUUGGAACUUGCGAUUUCAUCUCCUCUAUAAGCCUCGACUUCUCAGGAUAGAGGGAGCAAUCUGCUUUGUGUUUCCCUUCUGUGGAUGUGAAGCUGCUUGAAUAAAGAGGUACAUCCCUAUCUGUCUAAGUUUGAAGCUACUGAAUGAAGGGUUUGACACAUGUGUUUGUGGGUAAAAUCGUUGUUGGGAUGUAUCUUUAUGGGUUCUCACUAUUUUCAGCAACAAUCUUUACUGAACUGCUACCAUAUGUUGCUUUAAAACCUUGCUUGCAUGAGUUAAAUAUGAGGAUUCAAGCCUUUAAAGUUUAUUUUAGCUUGAAAUCCUUGUUAUGUUUUAGUACCCUUUCCUUGUUUUGUCAAUUUACUUGCAUAUUGAUGAAUGCUUUGAUUUAAGCUUGACUAUGCUUUUAAAUUGGGGAUUCAUUUAUUGAACUACUACUUAUUGGUUGUGUAUUGUGUGUGUUAGAAACAUGGAUGUGCCUGAAAAUAGGAAAUCAAUGGAUAAUAGAUUAUAUUCCUUAUAGGAAUUCAUGUAUUAGCGAGGGAAAGGAAAUAA